rnacentral:rRNA from 1 species
CCUCGUCUGCACCUCCGACGCGUAGGGGGGUUUGGUUGAUGAGAGGAGAGAACACAAAACGACGUAUAGAUUUUAGGUAAGUUCACGGACGGACUACUAGAGUUGAAAGGAAACAUUUAACCACGAAACGCCGGCCCGGUCUCAAUUGCUUUACUCGGGCUCGGGCCACCACUUCGACCCCCGCACCCCUUCGCUGCGGCCCCGGCGGGUGCUGUAGCUGCAGUGGCGACGCCGCGGCGUGGCCGACCUCUCGUAGCAGCAGGCGACCCCGUUCCAGUAGCUGAGGCAGCGGAAGUGGAUGUGGCUGCUCCCGCCCGUCGACGUGUGGCGGCCCGGGACCCCGCCGCGGCCUCCACAUCUCCUUCUGUGACACUCGAGGAAAGAAAGUUUAAGUUUAAGUUAAAGUUUAGGUUAACAAAUAGAUAGAUAGGUAGAGAGAGAAUAAGGUUUUAACCAGCGGACCAGCCACCCGGGCAAGGCCAAGUUCCUCUAGCUCCUGACGUAGUGGAGCGAGUUCAAACACUGGUUGGCCCCCCGGUGGAUGCCGGGGAAGCCGGCUCCCCUGCCGCGCGUGGUGUCGGACGGUCACGAGCUGCCGCCGUCGGAGCAGCCGUACAAAACGGCGCGACCUCUGAUGGAGGUGCGAUAGCCGAAGGUGCAGGCUGGGAACCGGCAGCAGCUCAGGUGCCGGAGCGGCCGGUUCGGAGUUCCCCUCUCAAACGGACGGCAUCGGUGACUCCCUAUCCUCUCCCUUUCUAUUUUAUUUUCCGGCAAACUUAGAAACACUACAGCUCAGAGACUUAGUGAUGUAAUGUACGUGUAGUACAUAGAUAGAGACGCGAUCGAGGAGUACAGUAAUGUGAUACUGAACGAAUCGGGAUAGUUUAAAACAGUGUACGUAUCAGGCUCUUUAUUUCUUUCCGACAUACAAGUUAUAAAACCUAUGGCCAGUACCUUCAUUUGGCUUAAGAUUUUAGUUUACUUAAAG